GGAGGAGUGGCCGAGUGGUUGAAGGCACCGGUCUUGAAAACCGGCGAAGGGCAACCUUCCGUGGGUUCAAAUCCCACCUCCUCCGCCA
rnacentral:tRNA from 1 species